UCCCUCUCAGGGUCACACCUGGAGAGUUUCCAGUCCUCUACCAGUCUCGACUAUGGGAGGGAGAGUCAAACAGGCAUACUCAUUCCAUUCCUAACUUGGGCAGUGGCUAGCGAGUGGAAGGCAAUCUGCUGCAAGU
rnacentral:snoRNA from 1 species